rnacentral:rRNA from 1 species
GAGGGGCAGCAUGGGAGUUUGCUUGCAAACUUCCGAUGGCGACCGGCGCACGGGUGAGUAACACGUAUCCAACCUGCCGAUAACUCGGGGAUAGCCUUUCGAAAGAAAGAUUAAUAUCCGAUAGGAUAUCAAGGUCGCAUGAUCUUGAUAUUAAAGAAUUUCGGUUAUCGAUGGGGAUGCGUUCCAUUAGUUAGUUGGCGGGGUAACGGCCCACCAAGACGACGAUGGAUAGGGGUUCUGAGAGGAAGGUCCCCCACAUUGGAACUGAGACACGGUCCAAACUCCUACGGGAGGCAGCAGUGAGGAAUAUUGGUCAAUGGACGAGAGUCUGAACCAGCCAAGUAGCGUGAAGGAUGACCGCCCUAUGGGUUGUAAACUUCUUUUAUAUGGGAAUAAAACAGGGUAUGCAUACCCUCUUGUAUGUACCAUAUGAAUAAGGAUCGGCUAACUCCGUGCCAGCAGCCGCGGUAAUACGGAGGAU